UGGUGGCGAGUGGCGAACGGGUGAGUAAUAUAUCGGAACAUAUCCUAGAGUGGGGGAUAACGUAUCGAAAGAUUCGCUAAUACCGCAUACGACCUACGGUUGAAAGCAGGGGAUCGUAAGACCUCAUGCUCAUGGAGUGGCCGAUAUCUGAUUAGCUAGUUGGUGAGGUAAAGGCUCACCAAGGCGACGAUCAGUAGCUGGUUUGAGAGAACGACCAGCCACACUGGAACUGAGACACGGUCCAGACUCCUACGGGAGGCAGCAGUGGGGAAUUUUGGACAAUGGGGGCAACCCUGAUCCAGCAAUUCCGCGUGAGUGAAGAAGGCCUUCGGGUUGUAAAGCUCUUUUGUCAGGGAAGAAACGGUAUGAUCUAAUACAUCAUGAUAAUGACGGUACCUGAAGAAUAAGCACCGGCUAACUACGUGCCAGCAGCCGCGGUAAUACGUAGGGUGCGAGCGUUAAUCGGAAUUACUGGGCGUAAAGCGUGCGCAGGCGGUUUUAUAAGUCAGAGGUGAAAUCCCCGGGCUCAACCUGGGAACUGCCUUUGAAACUGCAAGGCUAGAGUGUGUCAGAGGGGGGUAGAAUUCCACGUGUAGCAGUGAAAUGCGUAGAUAUGUGGAGGAAUACCAAUGGCGAAGGCAGCCCC
rnacentral:rRNA from 1 species